AAUGAAAGAACUAGAUACGACUUUGUUAAUAUUUUUUUUUACGUCAUUAAGAUAUGAUAAAAUUAAUAAAGGUAUUGUGCUUGAAGACGGUUAAGAUUGAAUAAAUAUCGAGAAUGUUGAAAAUAUCUAUUGAGCUUACAAUGUGCUUUAGCGUCGCCGUAUAAAAAGGAGACAAUACAAGAUUUUUAUGUACAAAACCCUCGACAAAACCAUACAAUCAUCUACUAUAUAAUGUAAUUGUUUAGGGCCAGACUACAUUUGAAAUCUAUGAAAACCUUGACGCCAUUUAACAUUGGAUCUUUUUUCCAUAGAAAGAUAAUUUGUACAUGUAUUUACCAAUAUCUUCUGACCUGUAACAAUUAAUAACACAUAGAUGUUGCAACUGCAUAAAAGUAUGUUAUUGAGCUUUGUAUGUCUAUACUUGUACAUAAAUAUCAAAACUUGUAUUGUAUGAAAAUUAUAC